AUUGAACGCUGGCGGCAGGCCUAACACAUGCAAGUCGAGCGAGCGGCGGACGGGUGCGUAAUGCCUGGGAAUUGCCCAGUCGAGGGGGAUAACAGUUGGAAACGACUGCUAAUACCGCAUACGAUUGGAUUGCCCAGGUGGGAUUAGCUAGUUGGUGAGGUAAUGGCUCACCAAGGCGAGGAUCCCUAGCUGGGCUGAGAGGAUGAUCAGCCACAUUGGAACUGAGACACGGCCCAGACUCCUACGGGAGGCAGCAGUGGGGAAUAUUGCACAAUGGGCGAAACCCUGAUGCAGCAAUGCCGCGUGUGUGAAGAAGGUCUUCGGGUUGUAAAGCACUUUCGGUGAGGAGGCGUUACUCGAAGAAGAAGCAACGGCUAACUACGUGCCAGCAGCCGCGGUAAUUC
rnacentral:rRNA from 1 species